ACACACACACACACACACACACCUGACAAGGCUGCUAAGGUGUGAGCCAUGCUCACCUACAGUAAGUGGAGAUUGGAUGGAAACUAAAGUUUUAUAUAGCUGACACACACAUACAUAUACAUCACAUCCACCCUGAAACAAUACUACUGUCUCUGCUGUUAAGGUGCUGCUAGGUGGUAGUGAUGCUAGGUGGUAGUGAUGCUACUGUCUCUGCUGUUAAGGUGCUGCUAGGUGGUAGUGAUGCUAGGUGGUAGUGAUACUACUGUCUCUGCUGUUAAGGUGCUGCUAGGUGGUAGUGAUGCUAGGUGGUAGUGAUACUACUGUCUCUGCUGUUAAGGUGCUGCUAGGUGGUAGUGAUGCUAGGUGGUAGUGAUGCUACUGUCUCUGCUGUUAAGGUGCUGCUAGGUGGUAGUGAUACUACUGUCUCUGCUGUUAAGGUGCUGCUAGGUGGUAGUGAUGCUAGGUGGUAGUGAUGCUACUGUCUCUGCUGUUAAGGUGCUGCUAGGUGGUAGUGAUGCUACUGUCUCUGCUGUUAAGGUGCUGCUAGGUGGUAGUGAUACUCCUGUCUCUGCUGUUAAGGUGCUGCUAGGUGGUAGUGAUGCUACUGUCUCUGCUGUUAAGGUGCUGCUAGGUGGUAGUGAUACUCCUGUCUCUGCUGUUAAGGUGCUGCUAGGUGGUAGUGAUACUACUGUCUCUGCUGUUAAGGUGCUGCUAGGUGGUAGUGAUGCUCCUGUCUCUGCUGUUAAGGUGCUGCUAGGUGGUAGUGAUACUCCUGUCUCUGCUGUUAAGGUGCUGCUAGGUGGUAGUGAUACUCCUGUCUCUGCUGUUAAGGUGCUGCUAGGUGGUAGUGAUACUACUGUCUCUGCUGUUAAGGUGCUGCUAGGUGGUAGUGAUGCUACUGUCUCUGCUGUUAAGGUGCUGCUAGGUGGUAGUGAUGCUCCUGUCUCUGCUGUUAAGGUGCUGCUAGGUGGUAGUGCUGCUAGGUGGUAGUGAUACUACUGUCUCUGCUGUUAAGGCGCUGCUAGGUGGUAGUGAUGCUAGGUGGUAGUGAUACUACUGUCUCUGCUGUUAAGGUGCUGCUAGGUGGUAGUGAUGCUACUGUCUCUGCUGUUAAGGUGCUGCUAGGUGGUAGUGAUACUCCUGUCUCUGCUGUUAAGGUGCUGCUAGGUGGUAGUGCUGCUAGGUGGUAGUGAUACUACUGUCUCUGCUGUUAAGGUGCUGCUAGGUGGUAGUGAUACUACUGUCUCUGCUGUUAAGGUGCUGCUAGGUGGUAGUGAUGCUACUGUCUCUGCUGUUAAGGUGCUGCUAGGUGGUAGUGAUACUACUGUCUCUGCUGUUAAGGUGCUGCUAGGUGGUAGUGCUGCUAGGUGGUAGUGAUACUCCUGUCUCUGCUGUUAAGGUGCUGCUAGGUGGUAGUGAUGCUACUGUCUCUGCUGUUAAGGUGCUGCUAGGUGGUAGUGAUACUACUGUCUCUGCUGUUAAGGUGCUGCUAGGUGGUAGUGAUACUCCUGUCUCUGCUGUUAAGGUGCUGCUAGGUGGUAGUGAUGCUAGGUGGUAGUGAUACUCCUGUCUCUGCUGUUAAGGUGCUGCUAGGUGGUAGUGAUGCUACUGUCUCUGCUGUUAAGGUGCUGCUAGGUGGUAGUGAUGCUACUGUCUCUGCUGUUAAGGUGCUGCUAGGUGGUAGUGAUACUCCUGUCUCUGCUGUUAAGGUGCUGCUAGGUGGUAGUGAUGCUACUGUCUCUGUUGUUAAGGUGCUGCUAGGUGGUAGUGAUGCUACUGUCUCUGUUGUUAAGGUGCUGCUAGGUGGUAGUCUGUGAGGCUAGUAGUGAGAAGAUAAAACACCUUUUGCACAUGACGGUAGUUGAUUUUCUGUGUUGGGUGACAACAGGGAUGACAGAUCUAACCCGGCGCUGACAGGAGCUGGACACAACCGCUGUAGACGGAGAACAGAAACAUUCAUGUUGUUUGUUUGUGGGUGUUUUAAUGAUGAGAACAGAGAGUGACGUGUCCAGAUGAUGUCCUCUCUAAAUGGGAUCAGGGUUUAGUAAUAUGCUCAAGCUUUCAUUGGUACAAAAAAAACAACUUUUAGACAGGAUGUUUUUUGACAGGGUUUUCUCAGCCCUGGGGCGGCAGGGUAGCCUAGUGGUUAGAGUGUAGAGGUGGC